ensembl:lncRNA
UAAUUUUAAAUGCUUCUUUAAAUGCGGUUUGUUUUUCAAGAUAGAAGGUUGCGCCUCCAAAGAUCCUGGCUGUGCCCCCCAGAGAGGGAGCCAGACGACCCUCUCUUCUGUUUGUCUCUGUCUGUGUGUGUGUGCAUGGCAAUUGUGUCUGUAUGUCGCCCCCACUUCCCCUCUUUGUGUCCACCAGAUGGCGACCCAGCCGCAGAGCCAAACCCCAGGGAGGAGGUUCCUGACCCGAAUGUGCUGGUCCAAGACGAGGUGGACGAGCCCCAUGGUCUGAGGGUCCGGGGCCGCCAAGCAGGACCAUGCCGGGGAGCCAGGCUGAGGGUCCGGGGCUGCCAAGCGGGACCACGCCGGGGAGCCAGCCAGAGGGUCCGGGGCCGCCACACCUGACCACGCCGGGGAGCCAGCCCGAGGGGCCGGGGCCUCCAAGGGGAGGAUACAGCAGGGCAGGAGCCCUGUGGUUGCCGCCGUCCGCCCCACCACCUCCACUGAUGGUUCUGCUGGGGCUCCGAGGACGUAGCCCUUGGAGGAGGGGCUCUGUCAGGAUUGACUGCAGCUGUGCUCAUCACCGGUGGCCAAUCCUGACGGCGCAUAAAUGCCAGACUUCCGCCCCUUCGAAAUGUCCAGCAUUUUCGUGAACUCGAUCAUGAACUUGACCUCCGUUAGUGUAUGUCUUAAUGUUUUGAGUUCUGGCAAUCGCCACACGCCUGCGGGUUCGUUUAUUUUCUUUAAACUGUUUUUGGCCACCGAGCCGCAUUUAUGUUUAUUUAUUGUUUACCUCUGCGCUUCCUUCCCCCAUAAGUCCGUAGUCGUGACAAUAACUUGUGAUAGACAACUACUGGUAGGCAGUAUGAGUUUAUAUUUGAGACAAUUUAUAACAGUAAUAAACAUAAUUUUAUGCUUUUAAAUUGCAAUUAAUAUAAUUUACAGAGAAUUCAGUUGCAGGAUUUAGAUGGUUUCACAGUAAAAUUGUUUUUAAUACUGCAACAUACAUUAUAAUAUAAAGAACUCUUUGAGUAAAAUUUACAGGAGAAUGCAGUUAAAAUACUGUAUUAUAAUGAUGGUUUUACAGUUAAAUACUGUAGUUUUUAUACUAUUCUUUUGUGAAAUUGAGUGAGAUUCAAUGUCCAAUAAGCAACAACUACAUUUGAGUAGUUGUAAAGGUUUGAUAACAACAUAGUUAUGCUAGUUCAACAAAACAUGUCCGUUAGAGUUACAAGUUUUUUUUCAUUUACAACAGUUUUAAACUGUUAAAUUUACAGAUUGUUCUGUUAAGUUGUUUACAUUUCGUAAAAAAAAUUUUUUACACUGAAUAUAAUGUAUAUAUGUGACAAUAUGACUUUAACUAAGUGUACUGUUUUGAAAUAUCAUGAAUAUGCCUUUCAAAUGCACCUUGAUUGGGUUUUUGGCCUGCCACUUGUUUCAAUCUAU